AUGGACCGAGAUUGCUUUAAUUUGGUCGUACGGAAGAUUAUGUUUGAUGACAUCCAAAUGGCACAAAAAACAAAACAAUUAAUAGACAAACAUUAUCUCGACAUGAAAUUUUGGACUUGCUUGCUGGUGGCUGGUGCCCUGCAGGGACCAGGUGGUGCCGUCGGCCGCGGCGCCGCCGCCACCGUCGUUGCAGCAGCUAGGCCGGGAGUAGCCGAGCAGGGAAGAAGCAUAAUUGUUUUCUAUAUUCUGCUCCUCCCACCGACCAGUUGA
rnacentral:rRNA from 1 species